ensembl:lncRNA
GAGACCCCAUGGACUACGCCCUACCAGGCUCCUCCGUCCAUGGGAUUUUCCAGGCAAGAGUACUGGAGUGGGGUGCUAUCACCUUCUCCUGGCCACAUCCAAAUCUAACACCUCCAACCUAUCCAUCGGAAAUCAUAGAUAUCCAAGGAUCUCAAGGCUGAAAUUUCAACCGGACGCCCAGGAUGAUGUCUGGUCAGGGUGAAGACAGUUCUCCAGCACCUGCAAAAGACCAAGGAGAGGCUUAGGAGCCAGCCUGGUGGAAACAAAUGCUCAGGGCCCCUGGGGUAUCUCGACUCACAACUGCAAGGAAGCCGGAGCCGGCGCUGCGACGCUGAGCGGACCAGCGGGGCCAUUCUGGCCGCUGGCUGUGGCCGACCUGGGAGAGAGGAAGGAAAUGUAUUUUCGGGACUCUCCCAGCCGGCGUUGGAAACGCGGCAGCAGAUUCUCAGCUCCAUUCCCGCGGCGGUCGGCUUCUCAGACUCACGCGGGAUCCUGGGUAGCGACCUCAGUGAAGGGAGCGCGGGCAUCUGAGCUUGGCGAUGCCACCGAGACACAGGCUUCGGACCGAGUUUUGACCCGCCUGUGCCUCUUCUUCCUUUUCUCUAGCCAGCGGCUACCGCUGCCCAGCUUCAUCCAAAGGGGGCACUCGGGGCUAGGCCGAGAACCCUAGAUAAGGUCCACUGUAACUAAGAACCCGGGGUUAAGUGGAGGCCAUCCCACUGGACUCCGCAGUCUUCCACUUCUAAGGAUGUUCCUGGCUAACCUCCCUCCUCUUUCUCUCUCACCUCUCCAUAGUAAGCAGAAGUGGCGCUCUUGUUGGCAAGGAUCGGAAUGGCGGAAGCUUGUGCCUUCUCUCUUUGCUCCGUUUCUCGCGUCUUCACACGGUUGUCUCACUCGGAGACUCCUAAAUUCUGCCUGGGGAACACUUUCCGCGUUAAUUACCUUGAAACAACACGUCUCUAAUUGAGCUAAUUAUUCUCGUGCCCUGCAACACGCCCCUCUCCCCCCCAAUAACACACACACACCCGGGCCAGGCCGGGUGGCACGGUGCCUGGGCACAGGGUAGAAACCGCAGCCCCAACACGCACGGAGCCUGGUGUUGGGAGUCCAGGGUUCCGCUGGGAGUAGCGCCCGGGUCUGCCUGCGGGCCCUUCUCCGAUUCAUCUGUGGCACCUCCACCGCCCAGGGAGUGGCUGGAGCUCUCACAGCUCCGGUGCAUGGGCCGCGUCUAUUGAAUAGAAUCGUGGCAUCUUUGAGUUUCCUCUCCCUUCUCCGACUUAACAGAGAGCUUCGCAAGUGGCCAGAGCAAGAAGUAGGAUAACUGGGAGAGAGCAAGGCUUGCUCCUCCACCCCUGCCCAUCCU